CUCAGGACGAACGCUGGCGGCGUGCCUAACACAUGCAAGUCGAGCGAUGAAGUCUCGGAACGGAUUAGCGCGGACGGGUGAGUAACACGUGGGUAACCUGCCUUGUAGAGGGGGAUAGCCUUCCGAAAGGAAGAUUAAUACCGCAUAACAUCUUUUUAUCGCAUGGUAGAAAGAUCAAAGGAGUAAUCCGCUACAAGAUGGACCCGCGGCGCAUUAGCUAGUUGGUGAGGUAACGGCUCACCCAAGGCGACGAUGCGUAGCCGACCUGAGAGGGUGAUCGGCCACAUUGGAACUGAGACACGGUCCAGACUCCUACGGGAGGCAGCAGUGGGGAAUAUUGCGCAAGUUACGGGGGGAAACCCUGACGCAGCAACGCCGCGUGAAUGAAGAAGGCCUUAGGGUUGUAAAGUUCUGUUUACGGGGACGAUAAUGACGGUACCCGUGGAGGAAGCCACGGCUAACCACGUGCCAGCCGCCGC
rnacentral:rRNA from 1 species